rnacentral:rRNA from 1 species
UACGUAGGGUGCGAGCGUUAAUCGGAAUUACUGGGCGUAAAGCGUGCGCAGGCGGUUCGUUGUGUCGGUGGUGAAAUCCCCGGGCUUAACCUGGGAAUGGCCAUGGAAACUGGCGAACUGGAGUGUGGCAGAGGGGGGUGGAAUUCCGGGUGGAGUGGUGAAAUGCGUAGAGAUCCGGAGGAACACCAGAGGCGAAGGCGGCCUACUGGGCUGCACCUGACGCUGAGCCGCGAAAGCCAGGGGAGCGAACGGG